rnacentral:rRNA from 1 species
CGGGAGGCAGCAGGGAGGAAUAUUGGGCAAUGGGCGCAAGCCUGACCCAGCCACGCCGCGUGAAGGAUGAAGGCGCUAUGCGUUGUAAACUUCUUUUAUACGGGAAGAAAUCCCUGCUUGCGAGCGGGGUUGACGGUACUGUAUGAAUAAGCAUCGGCUAACUCCGUGCCAGCAGCCGCGGUAAUACGGAGGAUGCAAGCGUUAUCCGGAUUCAUUGGGUUUAAAGGGUGCGUAGGCGGGGCGAUAAGUCAGUGGUGAAAUCCUGCGGCUCAACCGUAGAACUGCCAUUGAAACUGCCGUCCUUGAGUACAGUUGAGGUGGGCGGAAUGUGUCGUGUAGCGGUGAAAUGCUUAGAUAUGACACAGAACGCCGAUUGCGAAGGCAGCUCACUAAAUUGUAACUGACGCUGAGGCACGAAAGCGUGGGGAUCAAACAGGAUUAGAUACCCUGGUAGUCCACGCUGUAAACGAUGAUAACUCGUUGUUAGCGAUACACAGUUAGCGACUGAGCGAAAGCAUUAAGUUAUCCACCUGGGGAAUACGGCCGCAAGGUUGAAACUCAAAUGAAUUGACCGG